UGAGGAAUAUUGGACAAUGGGCGAAAGCCUGAUCCAGCCAUGCCGCGUGUGUGAAGAAGGUCUUCGGAUUGUAAAGCACUUUAAGUUGGGAGGAAGGGCCAUUACCUAAUACGUGAUGGUUUUGACGUUACCGACAGAAUAAGCACCGGCUAACUCUGUGCCAGCAGCCGCGGUAAUACAGAGGGUGCAAGCGUUAAUCGGAAUUACUGGGCGUAAAGCGCGCGUAGGUGGUUUGUUAAGUUGGAUGUGAAAUCCCCGGGCUCAACCUGGGAACUGCAUUCAAAACUGACUGACUAGAGUAUGGUAGAGGGUGGUGGAAUUUCCUGUGUAGCGGUGAAAUGCGUAGAUAUAGGAAGGAACACCAGUGGCGAAGGCGACCACCUGGACUGAUACUGACACUGAGGUGCGAAAGCGUGGGGAGCAAACAGGAUUAGAUACCCAGGUAGUCCCUGAGCGGGCUGGCAAGGCGCAU
rnacentral:rRNA from 1 species